UACAGAGGGUGCGAGCGUUAAUCGGAAUUACUGGGCGUAAAGCGUGCGUAGACGGCUAUCUAAGUCGGGUGUGAAAGCCCCGGGCUCAACCUGGGAAUUGCAUUCGAGACUGAAUAGCUAGGGUACGGUAGAGGGAAGUGGAAUUUCCGGUGUAGCGGUGAAAUGCGUAGAUAUCGGAAGGAACAUCAGUGGCGAAAGCGACUUCCUGGACCAGCACUGACACUGAGGCACGAAAGCGUGGGGAGCAAACAGG
rnacentral:rRNA from 1 species